GGCUAAGACACGCACCGGACCCGGCGUGCCCAAGGUUCCCCCCACCACUGAGCGCAGGCUUCCUAGAGAACAGAGCGCGGCUAAGACACGCACCGGACCCGGCGUGCCCAAGGUUCCCCCCACCACUGAGCGCAGGCUUCCUAGAGAACAGAGCGCGGCUAAGACACGCACCGGACCCGGCGUGCCCAAGGUUCCCCCCACCACUGAGCGCAGGCUUCCUAGAGAACAGAGCGCGGCUAAGACACGCACCGGACCCGGCGUGCCCAAGGUUCCGCCCCACCACUGAGCGCAG